rnacentral:misc_RNA from 1 species
AAGAUGUCAACAAAAGGCUUGCCUAAACAAAAUAACAUUCAAAUCAGAUAGGAAUUCAAGGGAAAAAGUCAUCAACAGAACAUGGCAUCCAGGGGGAAAAAAAACAACUGCAUUGAUGAGAAAUUACUUUUAGGGCAAUAAUACUUCCUCAGUACCACAAAAAUAGACUAUGAAUCUAUUUUCACAUAGAUUACGAAAAUGUAGUUAAUAUACUUAAAGCAAUAAUUUGUUUUGAAUUUUCCUAAUAUACCCUCCGACUCAUUAUUUCUUAAAAUUAAAUAAUUUAUAUUACUAAGUUAUUCUUGGAAAUAAUAAAUUUUACUUUUUCAAUCAUAUUAAAUAGGAUUAUAUUAGUAAACUAAUAAAUAAAUAAUUUCAAAAAGAAAAGUAUCUGGUUUAAUUUGGGAGAAGGAAACUAAGCCUAUCUUUCAUAGAGGGAGCAAAUAAUAAUCCUCCAGCGUAGAAAUAUAAUCAAAACCUCCCCAAAAAUUCAUUCAGAACGAUACCUGAUUUAGACUUCUGGUAUAGGGUUUCCUCAAAAAGAAUCACA